rnacentral:rRNA from 1 species
AGAGAGAGACAUGCGCGCAUAUCAAUAAGCGGAGGAAAAGAAACUAACAAGGAUUCCCCUAGUAACGGCGAGUGAAGCGGGAAGAGCUCAAAUUUGAAAUCUUAAAGGGUUUCCCUUUACGAAUUGUAGUUUAAAGAAGUGUUUUCUGUUGAGGUUUUGGUAAAAGUUCUUUGGAAUAGGACAUCAUAGAGGGUGAGAAUCCCGUAUUUGACCUUUACUUUCAACUUUGUGAUACACUUUCAAAGAGUCGGAUUGUUUGGGAAUGCAGUCCAAAAUGGGUGGUAAAUUUCAUCUAAAGCUAAAUAUUGGCGAGAGACCGAUAGCGAACAAGUACCGUGAGGGAAAGAUGAAAAGAACUUUGAAAAGAGAGUUAAACAGUACGUGAAAUUGUCAAAAGGGAAGCGUUUGACACCAGUGUUGUUUUUCUGAAAAUCAAUUAAAGAGCUGUUUAUGCUAAGCUGUUUAGACUUUAUCAGCUAACUGUUUAGUUUUGAGCUUUUCUUUAAUGCACUUUUCAGUUAACAAGUCAACAUCAAUUUCUUUUGCUGUAAAAAAGCUUGAGGAAGGUGGCUUGAGAUUCGUCUUAAGUGUUUAUAGCCUCUUGCCUAUGCAGUCGGAGAGAUUGAGGUCUGCAGCGUAGAUCCUUCGGGGCUAAAUGCAUUUGUGCUAAGUUAUAGCAUUUUAUAGACAACUUGUUGACUAUGAUUUGUCUUGUAGCUUACUCGCUUAUGUUAUUUUACCUACGCUUAGGAUGUUGAGCGCAUGUCUCUCUCU